ensembl:lncRNA
AAGCAGCUCCUCAAGCGUUUGGACUUCAGGAGAGGCUGUGUCACAGUAAAUCAUAGGGCUGUUAUUUGAAAGCAAACUCCUCUCUUUUGGCAGCCUGAGGAGCUCUGGAGGUGCUGCAUUCAGUCAGCUCGGCUCUCUGGGAGACAUCCAGACGUGGGGUAGCGAGCCAGCAUUCACAGGCUGUCCCUGCAUGUCAUCUGCUUCGGCUGUGCUGGGAUCUCACUGAACCCAGCAGUCACCCUGAGUGUGGGAGCAUGAAAAGAGAAGAGGGAAAAUAGAACUGCGCUUGAUUUCAUUGAAAUUUGGAGCUGACAGAAGCUGAAACAAAGCAGAAAUAAUGCAGGCCAUUGUCUGUGAAGUGCAUGGAAAGCUGCUCUCCUUUACAGCAGACUUUAGGUCUGAGCGCAAAGCCAUUCAUGCUGUGAAGGUUGAAUCCUGGCAGAAGCAGUACUGCUCACUGCAAAUGAAGAGGAAUACAGCAUCCUCAGGACAUUAAAGCAAAUAUACAAGGAGCGGACAGGAACAAGCACUUAAAAAUGCACGCUGCUAAGACUGUGAUAACAGGAUCUGGGGAGAAAGGCUUCAUAACUAUCAGUUUUUGGCAUGUAGUUCUGUACUGUCUGGUAAUGAAGAUGAAUCAUAUCUUUUGAAACCCUUUCUUUAAAAUUAGCUUAAAUGAAGGUGCAGGAGUGAGUGUUCUUGACCCUGGGCACUUCUACAGAACGUACAGUGAAGGUGAUUGCUGAAUUAUGUGGCUGAUGUUUGUGAGAUGGGAAAAAGUCCCUGCAGACACAUGAAAGGUAUCCUGGAACUAAGGCGGGCAGUGAUGUGCCCGUGACAGCUGACCUCAUCCUGGCUGGGUGGAUUUGUGCCCUUACAGAGCAGAAGUGAAGAGGAAAAAGCUGCAGCAGCCCCCUGUAUGCUCACGCCCUGAAACAGCUGCACAUUGGGCUCAGUCCCAGUGACGGGACAUACAGCAAGAACACUC